UGUCUUUCCUUAGUUAGAGCAGUUUUUUUGUUCCUGGUUAAUUAUCAAAAAACAAGAAAGCCCUUGAUUAGUUCAUUCUCAUCAUCUUGCACAAGCCUGUGUAUGUAACAUUAGUACAUAUGAAAGAGGUAGCCAAGGAGAGUUAUUAGAUGCUCAUAGUAGAGGCAGGUACACCACAUACUGAUCAUGUCACUGUCAUUUCUUGAGAGUGACAGCUUGUAGUUCUUAGUGGCACUAUUAACAUUUUAAGCUGUCGAAUUCUUUGUUGAAGGGUUGUUCUUUGAGUUGAAGGAUUCCUAGUAGCAUUCCUGGCCUCUACCCACUAAAUGACAGCAUCACAUACUCUUCCACUUGUGAUAAUCAGAAAUAUUUCCAGACAUUACCAGUGUCCCUUGAGGAUGACAGAAUCACCCCUGGAUGAGACUGGUGUGUCUCUUGUCUUUGUAUUUAACUGCUGUAGACAAGGUGCUAUCUCAUUUGAUUUUCAUAACAACUCUAUAAUUUGGACAUGUAUUUCUAUUCCUGUUCAAUAAAUAGAAACCAAGGUUCAGAGAGGUUAUGUAAUUUGCAGGUAAUUGUGUAACUGGCAAGUGGGAAGGACCACAGCUGUAACCCAGCUCUGCCUCGAGAUCCAGUGCUGUUUUUUAAAAUACCAUGCAGCUUGCGACCACGUAGAUACACUUUGCAGAUUUAUCUUUCUAUGAAAGAAGGGAAAGCAUUGGAUCCAUUUUGUGCUGCAAGGAGAAUAAAAAAGAUGAAGUAGGUCGGCAAAGCCUGAGUCCUGUCGUCUCGCCUUCCUCCCAUACAGCAUGAGCUUCACCACUCGCUCCACCUUCUCUACCAACUACCGGUCCCUGGGCUCUGUCCAGGCGCCCAGCUACGGCGCCCGGCCGGUCAGCAGCGCGGCCAGUGUCUAUGCAGGCGCCGGGGGCUCUGGUUCCCGGAUCUCCGUGUCCUGCUCCACCAGCUUCCGGGGCGGCAUGGGGUCCGGGGGCCUGGCCUCAGGGAUGGCUGGGGGUCUGGCAGGAAUGGGAGGCAUCCAGAACGAGAAGGAGACCAUGCAAAGCCUGAACGACCGCCUGGCCUCUUACCUGGACAGAGUGAGGAGCCUGGAGACCGAGAACCGGAGGCUGGAGAGCAAAAUCCGGGAGCACUUGGAGAAGAAGGGACCCCAGGUCAGAGACUGGAGCCAUUACUUCAAGAUCAUCGAGGACCUGAGGGCUCAGAUCUUCGCAAAUACUGUGGACAAUGCCCGCAUCGUUCUGCAGAUUGACAAUGCCCGUCUUGCUGCUGAUGACUUUAGAGUCAAGUAUGAGACAGAGCUGGCCAUGCGCCAGUCUGUGGAGAAUGACAUCCAUGGGCUCUGCAAGGUCAUUGAUGACACCAAUGUCACUCGACUGCAGCUGGAGACAGAGAUCGAGGCUCUCAAGGAGGAGCUGCUCUUCAUGAAGAAGAACCACGAAGAGGAAGUAAAAGGCCUACAAGCCCAGAUUGCCAGCUCUGGGUUGACCGUGGAGGUAGAUGCCCCCAAAUCUCAGGACCUCGCCAAGAUCAUGGCACACAUCCGGGCCCAAUAUGACGAGCUGGCUCGGAAGAACCGAGAGGAGUUAGACAAGUACUGGUCUCAGCAGAUUGAGGAGAGCACCACAGUGGUCACCACACAGUCCACCGAGGUUGGAGCUGCUGAGACGACGCUCACAGAGCUGAGACGUACAGUCCAGUCCUUGGAGAUCGACCUGGACUCCAUGAGAAAUCUGAAGGCCAGCUUGGAGAACCGCCUGAGGGAGGUGGAGGCCCGCUACGCCCUACAGAUGGAGCUGCUCAAUGGGAUCCUGCUGCACCUGGAGUCAGAGCUGGCACAGACCCGGGCAGAGGGACAGCGACAGGCCCAGGAGUAUGAGGCCCUGCUGAACAUCAAGGUCAAGCUGGAAGCUGAGAUUGCCACCUACCGCCGCCUGCUGGAAGAUGGCGAGGAAUUCAAUCUUGGUGAUGCCUUGGACAGCAGCAACUCCAUGCAAACCAUCCAAAAGACCACCACCCGCCUUAUAGUGGAUGGCAAAGUGGUGUCUGAGACCAACGACACCAAAGUUCUGAGGCAUUAAGCCAGCAAAAGCAGGGUACCCUUUGGGGAGCAGGAGGCCAAUAAAAAGUUCAGAGUUCA